rnacentral:rRNA from 1 species
UACGUAGGGUCCGAGCGUUGUCCGGAAUUACUGGGCGUAAAGAGCUCGUAGGUGGUUUGUCGCGUUGUCCGUGAAAACUCACAACUCAAUUGUGGGCGUGCGGGCGAUACGGGCAGACUGGAGUACUGCAGGGGAGACUGGAAUUCCUGGUGUAGCGGUGGAAUGCGCAGAUAUCAGGAGGAACACCGGUGGCGAAGGCGGGUCUCUGGGCAGUAACUGACGCUGAGGAGCGAAAGUGUGGGGAGCGAACAGG